rnacentral:tRNA from 1 species
GGUAAAAUGGCUGAAUCUUAGGCGAUAAAUUGUAAAUUUAUUUAUGAAUUAAUUCUUUUACCA